UAAUGACAGGUCCCUAUCACGAAUGGGGUUCAGCGGAUUACCCGGACCUGUCGGCCAAGGGUAGACACACGCUGAUCCAUUCAGUGUAGCACGUGUGCAGCCCUGGACAUCUAAGGGCAUCACAGACCUGUUAUUGCUCAAUCUCGUGUGGCUGAAAGCCACUUGUCCCUCUAAGAAGUUGGAGACGACCGCACGGGGCCACAUAACUAGUUAGCAUGGCGGAGUCUUGUUCGUUAUCGGAAUUAACCAGACAAAUCGCUCCACCAACUAAGAACUGCCAUGCACCACCACCCACAGAAUCGAGAAAGAGCUAUCAAUCUGUCAAUCCUUUCCAUGUCCGGGCCGGGUGAGGUUUCCCGUGUUUA